AACGAACGCUGGCGGCAUGCCUAACACAUGCAAGUCGAACGAGACCUUCGGGUCUAGUGGCGCACGGGUGCGUAACGCGUGGGAACCUGCCUUUAGGUUCGGAAUAACUCAGAGAAAUUUGAGCUAAUACCGGAUAAUGUCUUCGGACCAAAGAUUUAUCGCCUUUAGAUGGGCCCGCGUUGGAUUAGCUAGUUGGUGGGUAAAGCCUACCAAGGCGACGAUCCAUAGCUGGUCUGAGAGGAUGAUCAGCCACACUGGGACUGAGACACGGCCCAGACUCCUACGGGAGGCAGCAGUGGGGAAUAUUGGACAAUGGGCGAAAGCCUGAUCCAGCAAUGCCGCGUGAGUGAUGAAGGCC
rnacentral:rRNA from 1 species